rnacentral:lncRNA from 7 species
GGCUCCGGGACCGCCUCCCCCCGGCACCGGCUGGUGAGGGUGGGGGGUCCGGGCCGGUUGGAGCAGGGCCCCAACGAGAGCGAAUACUCGGAGCCCUUUGAGCAGAACGCAGCGCCCGAGGGCAGCAAUGAGGACCCCCGCGAGGCCGCAGGUGGGUGACACCGCACCGCGUCCCCCCCCACCCCACACACCCCCCCUGCACCCGUCGCCAUGGGGGUCCCGCAGCCCCCCCGGCCCCCGCUGCGCCCCAUAGCCCUGCCCGUCCGCAGGGCGCCCACGGCACGGCGGGGGGCAGCGGGUGAGGGGGCAGAGGGACCCCCGGCUCUACGACACCCCCUGCGAGGAAUGGGAGAAGGUGGGGAGGGCGCGGGGGGGGGCGCAGCCCGUGAGAGCCGCCUGCCCCGCGACGACGAGCGCCCGGCCGAUGAGUACGACCAACCCUGGGAGUGGAAGAAGGACCACAUCUCCAGGGCCUUCGCAGUGCAGUUUGAGAGCCCCGAACGCUCUCCCAGUCUGUCCCGGCAGCCGCCGCGCCCCCCCCCCCCCCCCGGGCACGAGGCCACUCUGCCCGCCCAGCCCGGGGCACGUGGACACCUCGCUGCCCCUGGAGAAGCAAGCGUGAGUUUGGGGGUCCCCUCCAACGUGGGGUGGCACCGAUGUCCCCACCAGGCAUCAUGGAUGGCAUCUGUGGGGUGCAGUGGGGUCCCUACGGCUCAGAAGGGGUACAGGCUGUCCCUGUGGCACAGAUGGGUCCCCACAGUGGAGAUGGGUCCCCAUGGCACAGAAGGUGCCCCAUGGCACAGAUGGGUCCCCAUGGCAUGGAUGUCCCAUUGGCACAGGGGGGUCCCGUGGCACAGAAGGUGCCCCAUGGCAUGGACAACCCAAUGGUGCAAAGGGGUCCCUGUGGUGGAGAUGGGUCCCCAUGGCACAGAUGUGCCCCCAUAGUGGAGAUGGGUCCCCAUGGCAUGGAUGUCCCCAUGGUGCAGUUGGGUCCCCAUGGCACAGAUGGGUCCCCAUAGUGGAAAUGGGUCCCCAUGGCAUGGACGUCCCCAUGGCACAGGGGGGUCCCUAUGGUGGAGAUGGGUCCCCAUGGCACAGACAUCCCCAUGGCACAGGGGGGUCCCCAUGGCAUGGAUAUCCCCAUGAUGGAGAUGAAGGGUCCCCGUGGCGUGAUGACCCCAUAGCACAGCAGGUGCCCCACAGCACAUUGUGGUGGCACAGAUGGGUCCCCGCGGCCCUUUGGUGCCCCACGUUGACUUUGGUCCCCGUGACACAAAGGCAGGUCCCUGCCCCACGGGGCCAAGCAGUGCAGGCGGGACGCGGUGCCCCCCGUCGGGGUGCUGUGUGCACCCAUCGGGGUGACGCCCCCCACGGUGCCCCACACAGGUGGUACCACGGCCCC